rnacentral:rRNA from 1 species
CAGUAGCCACGGUAAUCCGUAGGUGGCAAGCGUUGUCCGGAAUUAUUGGGCGUAAAGGGCUCGCAGGCGGUUUCUUAAGUCUGAUGUGAAAGCCCCCGGCUCAACCGGGGAGGGUCAUUGGAAACUGGGAAACUUGAGUGCAGAAGAGGAGAGUGGAAUUCCACGUGUAGCGGUGGAAUGCGUAGAGAUGUGGAGGAACACCAGUGGCGAAGGCGACUCUCUGGACUGUAACUGACGCUGAGGAGCGAAAGCGUGGGGAGCGAACAGGAUUAGAUACCCCCGUAGUCCCUGUCUCUUAUAC